AGUUUACUCCAGCACAGUGGACAUGCUGUGCAAAGUUAAUCGUCGUAUGUGAAAUUUGAUUUUGAACUUUCUUCGGAUGCGUCUCUCAAAAAACGUGGCGUUGAUCAUACAGAGAAGGCAGGCAUGUCAACGGUGAUGAAAGGAUCGCGCAAAUGCAAAAUAAAUUGUCGACCUAUUCCACAUUGGUUUUCCUCAGCAUAAAUAUUCAACACAAUCAAGAGAGCCAUUACAUUAGGUCAGAUUCGAUCAGGUAAGUUUAACCGCACAGAGCCGGUAAUUGGGUUCGCCGGAGUUAGUCUGUCUUGUCCAGAAUUUCAAAUGACUGUAUAAUCGAAAGAAAAGUUUAUGCUACUGAAGUAUUCCGUUAUUACCUAGUCAUGAAGCCAUAUUUUGAAAAUGAUUUACUACUCAAUUAUUCCACAGGCGCUCUUCAUUUCUCCACGUAUAGUAUUUCCCCUGUGCACAUUUUAGCAUCAUUCGACGAAAACUCGGAAAGAAAGUGGGAAAAACUCCUCUCAAUUUUCUAACAACUAACAAGGGAACUUUAUUGGCCAUCCUUAAUCGCAUGGGGUGAGAAAACAUAUAGGAUUUUAGAGAAAAAACAUCAAUUGACGGCGGAUUUUCCAUUAACAUUAAAUGCUUUGACCUAUUCAAGCGAUAUAAGCUGUAUACAUGGUUCUUGAUAGGAUACUGAAGUAUAAGCUCGGAGGGGGGGGGGGGGAUUUGUAAUAUUAAUCCGCUUUUACCAGACAUUCACACGGCAUGCUACACCGAACAUGAAUCUCAUACAAAAAGUUAAGGUGCGUCUCAUUGUCAUUCUCAACUGCGCGCCUCCCAUCUCCAAUCUAAAGUAGAAGAAGUGACAAGUCGAAAAUAUCGUCAUUCUCUUAUCUAAAAUAUUUUGUAAUUUGUAUUCAUCUUUUUUUAUAUAUUCGAGCUUCACUAUGCACAAUAAAUGUACUUAAUUGUACUAUCUAUUAGGAGUAAACUGUUUACCGCCCAUCAAACAUGCCGCUCAGUACCGUUAGUACCGCUUGAAUUGGUUGGUUGCAUAACUUACAUAACGUGUGCUUUUACGGAGAAGAUAGCAGCAUCCGUUCAAAACUCUUUGUAAACUGGUGAUAAUGUGUUAACUUAAAAAAUAGCAUAACAAAUUAGGUUGAGUUGAUGACAUCUGGAAGUCUAAAAGUCUGAAAGUCAAGGAGGCGAGCAUUAAACAUACAUUUUACUUGUUUUGAAAAUGCGAGUUUGAAUAUAUGACUUGACUUCGUCGUCAAACUAUUCUCAACAGUCAACUGCUU